rnacentral:misc_RNA from 1 species
UUAAGUUCAGCGGGUAGUCCUACCUGAUUUGAGAUCAAACAUUCAAAGAGCUGUCCUCGCUGAGGAGAGACGUCUGUGAGCUCCAGUGAACCUCCACUGCUGAAGGUUACCUGGUGGAAAACCACAAGCGUAGAUAGUUAUCACACCUGUGAUGCCCACCAAACACUGGCAAGCUGAUUCAUUUUGGAGGAGCUGACUGU